UCAAAACAGCGGACUUCGGUCCUUGCUGCACCCUUGUCUUUUGCGCACCGUAUUGUUUCCUCGGCGGGCUUGCCUGCCGGUUGGACAUUAUCAAAACCUUUUUGUAGUUUGCAAUCAGCGUCAGAAAAACAAUAAUUAUUA
rnacentral:misc_RNA from 1 species